rnacentral:tRNA from 2 species
GGGAGCAUAGCUCAGCUGGGAGAGCGCUUGCCUUACAAGCAAGAUGUCAUAGGUUCGAUCCCUAUUGUUCCCACCA